rnacentral:antisense_RNA from 1 species
UUCCGGCACUCCUCUGUCUCAGGCGAGUUGCCCCAGUUCGCCAUCGCAGCCCGGGACGUGCGCCUCCCGCGGAGCCGCUCGCUCGCGGGAGUCGGAGUCGGGAACCCGGCGUCCGUUGCCAUGGCGACUCCCAGGCUUCCCCACAAGGCGCCCACAGCCUGGCGGCUGCUGCGAUACCCCAGAGGAAAGCUGCACCCCUGUAAAUAACCCUUCAGCCUCCCGCCACGCCCCUGGACCCUGCUCGCUUCCUCCUCUACCCAGGCGCGGAGCUCAGCCUACCUCGUGGACCCGCGCAUUUGCGGGGGCUUGGAUUCCCGAGCUUCUCGCUUCCUAUGCGCGCACCAGACCCGCAGGUGGGUGGCCUUGGCUUUCACGGCCUCCCAGCGUGUGCCAAAGGUCUCCCUCAAGGAGGAGGAAAAACAGUGAACCCAUCUAAUAACUAUGCUCAUGACAUAAUGAGCCCUGCGAUCCCGGACCAAGGCCAUCAUAAGAGGAGAGCAGGCUGCCUAAUAAGCUGUCUCCACCUGCCACAAACGUAGGCGUUCCUGGACAAAAUAUUUCCUUGCAGAGAUUAAACAGAUUUCUAUUUAAUGAGGUCAGAAUAUGAGGCGUUAAGUCUUAAACUAUACCAUCUAGUGUGGAAUUCAAUUUUACCAGGUUUCUACAAUAAUAAGAGUUUAUAGUGAAACUGUUGUCAUCCUUAGUUUUAAAUUAUGUAUCAUUCAUUGUCAACUAAUAGGACACACCUAUUCUGAUAUCAGUAUGUCAUUGCCAUUGUUGUUCUGUAAACACUGGCUAAAUUUCUUUUUAAAAUGUCAUUGUCUGGUUUAGAACUGUCUAUACUACAUCUGCAUUUCAAUAUAUUAUCUACAGAAAAAUGAGUUUUUUCUUCUCUCU